AGAGGUCAGAUUACCGAAAAAUUACAUAUUCAUAGCUUUAUAUCAAAACGAAAGAAGGUCUGGUUCUCAGUUGAAAUCUUUCAAAUUUUUGCAGAAUAAAAAUGGAAACAGAGAUUAAGGUAACUAUGGGAUGGGGUUAGAACACUUGCCUUAAAAUUAUUUGAAUCCCAAAUGUGGGAAAAUUGAUGAAAAACCUCAAGCUCUUCUUCUUCUUCUUCUUCUUCUUCUUCUUCUCUUCUCAAACUCACGUUGGCUGCAACUCUUCAGGUUUGUUUUCUUUAACAUUUUUUCUAGUUCUUUUUUUUUUUUUGGGGUUUUGGCUAAUGCAAAAGUUGCAAGGUGUCAUGCAUGCAUGAAAGGGGCUAGGUGUCAUCUUUAGAGUAAACAUAAGUGGCACCCUUAGGUUAGCUAGUGACACUUGUCCA
rnacentral:lncRNA from 1 species